UUAAGGUCAAACACACAAUUGAAUUGUUUCUUAUUGCAGUCGUUCCUAUCCACUGUAAAUUUUCCACACAUCCAACCUUCUACACCGCACAGUAAAAUCCCCAAUCAUCACACAGUUCCAUUUCAUAAACUGCUUCAAAACACCCCCUUUCCCUUUCAUCCUUAGGAGCAGCUCCACAGCUGAUAUUUUUUCCCACCAUAUUGAACCUCAACCUCCACAUGCCUCCCCCUCGCAUCCCGCCCACAGUCCUUUACCUCUUCCGCCACUCCCUUUCUAACCAAUAUUGCCACCCCUUUGCAUUCUUCUCUCCAUUAUUUGCAAAUAUUUCCCCAAUCCACUCCUUCUGAAAUUAAUUUGUAACCACCCCAUCCCAGUUAGUCUCCUGCAGACAGACGAUGUCCUCUUUACAUCUUUGUAUGUAUGUAGCAGUCUCUCUUUGCUUCUCAAACCAUCCCAAUUAAAUGAAGAAAUUGUCACCACUGGACCCAAAGAAAAGAAAAUGAAACCCACCACUUCUAUUUCUACAUUAAUUUGAUCUAUUUUUUAAGUCCCUCCGGUCAGCUGUUCUCCCCGUGCCACCACCUUUGCACUAUCAUGCCCUCCUCCCCCUUAUCUGACCACUCACUUAUUUUUUUUUGUCCUGUCCAGCCAUUAUGGCAGAUAGUGUUGUUGAUCUAAAUGUCCUCACAAGCGAAACAGAUUUGCUCUGCCAGGGAAAAGUUUAAGAUACUCUUCCCCUGUUAUACAGAAUUUAUUUGACAUUAUUUGAUGUUUUGUUGUUAUGCAAAUUUGGAGUGGCUGGGUUGGAGCGGGAGGGGAUAGAAAAGAAGAGAAGAGAAAAGAAAACAGAGGGAAGAGUGCGGGGAAAAGAGGGGGACAAUACAGAGAGAGAGACAAGGACAACAGCAACAAUUGCAGCGACAAUAACAAAACAACAGAAACAAACAGGACUACAUCAUAAAAUGUCUGUGAUGACCAUAAAGACCAUGAUAGUGAGGACAAAAUAAUAACAAGCACACUGAUAAUACUGAAUUGAAACAGCCAUACAUAUUAGUGGUAAUAGUAGUAAUGAAAAUAUUAACAAUAACUGUAAUGCACACAAUUGUAAUAACUAAAAUAAGCCGACAUCACCAUCACUGAAAAAAAAUCAACGCUUUAACACUCUGGAUAAAUCAGCGAGUUAUGUGGGAUAAUACGUGUGUACUUUGAGUGUGUAUAUGUACGUGAACGUGUAAUUGUCACUGAGCAUGUAUGAAAGGAGAGGGACUGCCCCCCCCCGUGAAGACCAGCAGGGGACCGCAGAGAGGCAACCCCGACCAGAAACGGGGCGCCAGCAGGCAGGAGUACAGCCAAGACCGGCAAGAGACCACACCCCAAAAUAGAUGAAUGGACAAAUAAAUGAAAGAAUAAAAUAAGAAAGUGACUGAAAGGUAAAGGGGUAAUAAAGGCAAAGAAGCAUGCUGAAAUGAAGGAGGUUUGAUAAACUGACAAGACGGGACGGGGUAGUGUGGGGUAAUGCCCACUGGGAGGCGCUAUUGGGUAAAAGAAAAGAAGGGGAGUCAUUGGUUUACUGUCAGAGUAGGAUUCAGUAACACAACAGUAAUGUAGGGGGUUUAAAACAAAAUGGUUAAUCUUCCUGGGAUUGAUAAAAAAUUAAUAAAUAUAACGGGUAAAUAUAUAUAUGUAAUUAAAACUUAAAUAAUACCAAGGUAAAAGGCUACCAAGGUAAAAGGCUAAAGGUCAAGGAUUGAAGGCUCUUCUUGGAUGAAUGAAAAAUAAACAAAUCAGUAAAAACAUUGAAGCGAGAUUAAAUUAAGGGCGGAUGGAUGAACAACAAGAAGGGGAGAGUAUUGGAAGAAAUAACUGGGGUGUCUUUCCAGGGUCGUGUGUGGCAAUGUCCACUAGGGGGAGAGAUUUGGCAAGAUUAAAAGAUUUGGGGCGUUAGAAAUAAAUAAAAUGUAAAGAACAGAAUAAGGUUCAAAAAACGAAAAUGAAAAAUAUCAAGGAAUAAACAAAGUAAGUAGAUAAAUCACAAAUAAAAAUAAACAAACACUUGCAAGCGGACCUAAUUAGGCACUCUCAUAGGGCGUUAUGGGGUGGGGGGUGUCAUCGAGCUAUAUUGAACUCAUGCUGUAAAGAAAUUUGAAUCCGGGUUGUAGCGACGUGCACGAGCCAGUGCAUCGACGGUGGUUCUCUAUCUAUGCACUCGCAGAGAGUGUUAAUAGCAGGAGUCAUUAAACUUCACCACGCUAACCCUAACCCUAUGAAUUUAUCUCCAUCUAUGAAUGGCAAGGGUUGGAAUGUGGAUGGAGAGAUGGAUGGAGAAGGAUACCCCAAAGUAAGCAUUAUAGUCAUCAGUCACAGACAUCUGUGGUCAGGAAAUCCUUUGAGAGACUGAUGCUGAGCCACCUGAAGGACAUCACAGACCCCCUGCUGGACCCCCGAGAGGGCAAAAGGUCCGUGGUUGAUGUGGUCAUCAUGGGACUGCACUACAUCCUGCAUCACCUCGACUCCCCGGGUACGUAUGCAAGGGCCGUGUUUGUGGACUUUCAACACCGUCAUCCCUGAGAUCCUCCACCAGAAGUUCUCCCAGCUCACCGUGCCAGCCUCCCGCUGUCAGUGCAUCACCAGCUUCCUGGCUGACAGGAGUCAGCAGGUGAGACUGGAGAGCAUCACAUCAGCACCUGGACUACCAGCACUGGUGCCUCCCCCAGGGGUGAGUUCUCGCUCCACUGCUCUUCUUCCUCUACACUAAUGACUGCACCUCAGGGGACCCUUCUGUGAAACUCCUGAAGUUUGCAGACAACACGACAGUCAUGCGGGACAGCGGAGAUGACAGUGGACUUCAAUCCUCAACAGCACAGUGUCUAAUGUGGACACCUUCUGGUUUCUGGGAACCACAAUCUCUCGGGACCUGAAGUGGUCUUCCCACAUAGACAUGGACAGGAAAAGACUAUAAAGGACUACCAGGUCUUCAGAAAAAAUAAUUGGAGCCGACCUUCCCUCCAUAUGUGACCUGUUUCGGUCCAGGGCCAGUGGGCCUAAACCCGAUAGGAACGACUUUACUCUCGUGACUGGGCAUGGGACACAGGUUCAGGCUUGAUCACCCUGUAGUUGGCUGCCUUUCAUGAGGGUGUCUCAUGUUGAAAGGCUGAAACACCCA